rnacentral:rRNA from 1 species
GAUGAACGCUGGCGGCGUGCCUAAUACAUGCAAGUCGAGCGAACAGAUGAGGAGCUUGCUCCUCUGACGUUAGCGGCGGACGGGUGAGUAACACGUGGAUAACCUACCUAUAAGACUGGGAUAACUUCGGGAAACCGGAGCUAAUACCGGAUAAUAUAUUGAACCGCAUGGUUCAAUAGUGAAAGACGGUUUUGCUGUCACUUAUAGAUGGAUCCGCGCCGCAUUAGCUAGUUGGUAAGGUAACGGCUUACCAAGGCAACGAUGCGUAGCCGACCUGAGAGGGUGAUCGGCCACACUGGAACUGAGACACGGUCCAGACUCCUACGGGAGGCAGCAGUAGGGAAUCUUCCGCAAUGGGCGAAAGCCUGGCGGAGCAACGCCGCGUGAGUGACGAAGGUCUUCGGAUCGUAAAACUCUGUUAUUAGGGAAGAACAAAUGUGUAAGUAACUAUGCACGUCUUGACGGUACCUAAUCAGAAAGCCACGGCUAACUACGUG